GGAUCGCCCAGUCACGUGCAGAUAAUCACAUCCUAAUUGCAGCUCCCAGAUAUGCCACGGAUCAACCUAUGUCUUUGAUGGAAAGGAUGUCCAACUAAACGUUCAUCGCCACGCCACACCUUACCACAUCACGGCGCACAGUCAACUCCCCGAAGAAUCAAACCGAAGGAUGGAGCAUCAUCAUGGAGGCAAUGACACCCAAGGAGCACCACAAUCGACGAGGGCAAGCUGAGGAAACCGAAGAUUCAGCAAGAGAUUCAAAGAACACAGGGGACAUAUUACAGAGAGGAGGGAACUGUCGUGGAAAGUUUUAUUAAGCAUAGGAUGACUAUAGUGGACUUGCUUUUUAGCUUAGGAAUG